GAAAAAUUUGAGGAAAAAAGAUGAGAGAAAAUCGGCCAUGAGAGAGUAAUAUUAACUCUCCAAAUUUCAUCCCCAAAAAUUAUAAUUUUCUAGUAUUCCUACUAAGUCAAGGGUGCUCUACAACAUGGUGUAGUUGUUUUGGAAGUUUGGAGAUUUUUUCAUUGAUUUGGAAGUGAAGAAGUUAGAAGAAAAAGAUUUUGGAGGAAACGAGAAUUGAAUUUGGACAAUCGUAAAACGUCAAAAAGGUACCGACGUUCGUUGUGCUGAGCCGCCUGUUUAGGACAUCUGCUGUGUUAUUGACAGUGCUCCUUUGUUCGGAGCUUGUAUUUUGGUACUGACUCUAUCUCUGUAUAUUUGUAUAUAUUGGUCAGGGGUACG